UACGAAGGGGGCUAGCGUUGCUCGGAAUCACUGGGCGUAAAGGGUGCGUAGGCGGGUCUUUAAGUCAGGGGCGAAAUCCUGGAGCUCAACUCCAGAACUGCCUUUGAUACUGAGGAUCUUGAGUUCGGGAGAGGUGAGUGGAACUGCGAGUGUAGAGGUGAAAUUCGUAGAUAUUCGCAAGAACACCAGUGGCGAAGGCGGCUCACUGGCCCGAUACUGACGCUGAGGCACGAAAGCGUGGGGAGCAAACAGG
rnacentral:rRNA from 1 species